rnacentral:rRNA from 1 species
AUUUACGGAGAGUUUGAUCCUGGCUCAGGACGAACGCUGGCGGCGUGCUUAAUACAUGCAAGUCGAACGGAGCCCAGCCGAUAGUUUUCUCUAUUGGCGACGGCUUAGUGGCGGACGGGUGAGUAACG